rnacentral:rRNA from 1 species
AUUGAACGCUGGCGGCAGGCUUAACACAUGCAAGUCGAGCGGAGUGAUGGUGCUUGCACUAUCACUUAGCGGCGGACGGGUGAGUAAUGCUUAGGAAUCUGCCUAUUAAUGGGGGACAACAUCUCGAAAGGGAUGCUAAUACCGCAUACGUCCUACGGGAGAAAGCAGGGGAUCACUUGUGACCUUGCGCUAAUAGAUGAGCCUAAGUCGGAUUAGCUAGCUGGUGGGGUAAAGGCCUACCAAGGCGACGAUCUGUAGCGGGUCUGAGAGGAUGAUCCGCCACACUGGGACUGAGACACGGCCCAGACUCCUACGGGAGGCAGCAGUGGGGAAUAUUGGACAAUGGGGGGAACCCUGAUCCAGCCAUGCCGCGUGUGUGAAGAAGGCCUUAUGGUUGUAAAGCACUUUAAGCGAGGAGGAGGCUCUUUUGGUUAAUACCCAAGAUGAGUGGACGUUACUCGCAGAAUAAGCACCGGCUAACUCUGUGCCAGCCGCCGCCGUAA